rnacentral:lncRNA from 1 species
UAAGAGAACUAAGACCCAUUGGAGUUAGUAGUGGAGGGAUUAUGGGGGGGACAUGUACUUUAAAAUCCAGUCUUUUUGGUAUUUUAUAUAAACACUGGGAGUGAGGGGACCUCCCACAUUUUACAACCACUGCCUUGUGUGUUUUCCUCGCCCUGAGCACCGUUCAGACACAUAAACCGGCCGUUACCCCUGAGCUGGGAUGAACCCUCUCUCACGUGGUCGGCUCGGUCUCCAUCCGGCCGGAGAGCCCCAGUCGUGUAACUUACUUGUGAUCACAAACAGAAGGGACCAAAGACGUUCCCUCUCAGGGCACCAGCGGUGUUUCCUGAAGCGGGAGGUGUGAGCGCGGACGUGGGAAGAGGAAGUGUGAUCCGCACGUGGAGGCUUGUUUGCAGGGGAGCCACCCAGCAUGUGCCCAGCGCCGCGGACGGCAGACGUUCCGGGGGUGUUUGAGAGGGUCCUGCAGCCCAGUUGUACCGCCGCUCGAGAGCUCAUGUAACUCUUGGUGGACCUGGGCUUCUCCCGGGGAGCAGACGGGCUGCGGACAUGUGGCACUGAGGCGGCUGGGGUACAGGAGCACCUGGGUCCCGCCUGUCCAGUCCCUGCACAGGACUGACCUCGCGAGCCCACUCUGGACGGUGCGUCAAGAGUGGGGCAAAGAGCAGCUCGGCCAUGGUGUCGAUGCAGCCUCACUGUCCUGAAAAGUAGGUCAUCUUGUUGGUACAGCACUGCAUUAAGACCCGGUCACCCACCAAGGGUUUAAACACCCAUGACCAUGAAAGAACAAGGCCUAUUUGAUUUUGGUAAGUCAUGCCGAUAUUACCAGGCUUAUGAUUUUCCUGUGACUUCCCCAAAUGUUAUCCAUUUAGCCCAUCGAUGACAAGUCUGAGGAAAAAUCGAAUAUUUUAAUAUGCCGUUAUACCAGGUGAUAAUUUCAGAGACUCUCCUAUUCAUUAGAAUUAUUUGCAUACGACAUUGUAAAUCAACUAUAAUUAAAAAUAAAGGAGUUCCGUCGUGGCGCA